rnacentral:tRNA from 1 species
AUUUAAAUAGUUUAAUAAAAAUGUUGGUUUGUGGAGCCAGGGAUAUAAUUAGUUAUUUUAAAUA